UCUUUAUUUUUCAUUACUUUGACCUCCCAUAAUGUAAUGGUGCUAACUAACGGUUCAUUUUUGCAUUACUUCUUCCCUUUCCCUUGCGUUUCGGUCCACCACCACUACCCACAAACUAACAAUUGCUUCUAACAAUUGUCGACGCCACUGAAUCACUCAAGUUUUAUGCUGCAGACAGCUUGAUCUCCUACGCGAGUGUCGGCAGAUCGUGGCGAUUGUUUCCGAAGUAGCGAAGCAGAGUUUUAAGAAGAAAGGGAUGCACGCUCCUGCGUGGAGGAAGCGCGAUUACAUGCUCGCGAAGUAUUAGGGAGAAGGAGAAGCAACCCCCGUCCUCCUCUGUGCAAGUUGUCGUCACCGUCGCGGUGCCAGAAACGGUGUCCUACGGUGACGCGAUGUCGAUGGAGAGCAAUAGCAAUGAGUUGGAGCUGAGUUUUAGUGAGAAAAUGUCAUCGCAGCCUGAAUCCGAUGAGGUUAAGGCGGUGGCGACGACAUCGGUGUGGCAAUCGCAGGUGAAGCCGAAGAGUGUUGAGAGAGCUAGGGACUAAGAUUGUGACCGGAUUGGCUUCUCUACUUAAGGGCAAACCAUAGAACAAUUUUUUUGUUUUUUUUCUAAAUUCUGAAUCCGUUGAACUUGAUUUGGUGUUGUUGAGUUUGAAUCUGAAUAUAUCUUGAUUUCGUGUUA